rnacentral:rRNA from 1 species
GGGUCGUUUAACAAACAAAACCAGACUGCUUGUACACGCAAGCGAUAGCCUGAGCGUUCGUCGCUAUGUCAAAGCAGCCCAGAGCUCUUUUUCGUUGCGGCGUCGCUCGAAAUGAUUGGUAAUUUUUAAAUUCGUCCGUUCGAACGCAGCGACGUAUACAGUGUGCGCAGUACCAAACUUUUGAUUGAGCAAGGUCUGCGAAGCCACGCCCGUCGAGUCCCGGAGCUCCUGCGCUCUUUAGAGCGCCGAGCGGACCGACGAGUCGCGUUGUGCUUUCGUUUUCCAACGUUCAUGAUGGAAUUGCGCGUGUACGGAUUUCGCUAUUACGACGAAUUGAACAAUCGAUCGACGACCUCAGAGCAGGCGAGACUACCCGCUGAAUUUAA